rnacentral:rRNA from 1 species
CAAUAGCGUAUAUUAAAGUUGUUGCGGUUAAAAAGUUCGUAGUUGGAUUUCUGCCAAGGACGACCGGUCCGCCCUCUGGGUGAGUAUCUGGCUUGGCCUGGGCAUCUUCUUGGAGAACGUUGCUGCACUUCGCUGUGUGGCGCGGUAUCCAGGACCUUUACUUUGAGGAAAUUAGAGUGUUUCAAGCAGGCUUUCGCCUUGAAUACAUUAGCAUGGAAUAAUAAGAUAGGACCUCGGUUCUAUUUUGUUGGUUUCUAGAGCUGGGGUAAUGAUUAAUAGGGAUAGUUGGGGGCAUUCGUAUUUAACUGUCAGAGGUGAAAUUCUUAGAUUGACGAAAGACAAACUGCUGCGAAAGCGUCUGCCAAGGAUGUUUUCAUUGA